ensembl:snRNA U6 U6 spliceosomal RNA
GUCUCGCUUCGGCAGCACAUAGACUAAAAUUGGAACGAUAUAGAGAAGAUUAGCAUGGCCCCUGCACAAGGAUGACAUGCAAAUUUGUGAAGCGUUCCAUAUUUAA